UCCAGACUCCUACGGGAGGCAGCAGUGAGGAAUAUUGGUCAAUGGGCGAGAGCCUGAACCAGCCAAGUCGCGUGAGGGAGUACUGCCCUAUGGGUUGUAAACCUCUUUUGUCGGGGAGCAAAAGCCGGACGUGUCCGUCUGUGAGAGUACCCGAAGAAAAAGCAUCGGCUAGCUCCGUGCCAGCAGCCGCGGUAAUACGGGGGAUGCGAGCGUUAUCCGGAUUUAUUGGGUUUAAAGGGUGCGUAGGCGGCGCUUCAGGUCAGCGGUGAAAUACCGGGGCUCAACCCCGGGGCUGCCGUUGAAACCGGAGCGCUAGAAUUCCGAUGCCGUCGGAGGAAUGUGUGGUGUAGCGGUGAAAUGCAUAGAUAUCACACAGAACACCGAUUGCGAAGGCAUCUGACGAAUCGGAGAUUGACGCUGAUGCACGAAAGCGUGGGUAUCGAACAGGAUUAGAUACCCGGGUA
rnacentral:rRNA from 1 species